CCGGUAACAACAGAAGUAUGAUGCCUAAUAUUGAAAUGCAGAUUUUUAAUAUUAAGAUAUUUUGAUAAAUGUUCAAAUUUAAGUUUUGUAUGUUUGUAUUUUCCCAUGUGGUCUUGUCACCCUGUUAUUCUGCAGGGUCGUUCAAAAUCCUUUGAGGUUAGUGGAAAUCAGUUCUCACUCUGUUCCUUUGUUAUCUUGUGUUGGUUUGGGCCUGUUAUCCUUGAUCCCCAGGAAAGCGCAGAGACGCAAGUGAUAAGGAACGGCCAGCCCCAUAUUUAUGACAUCUUAAGGAAUGAUGACUUAGAUGACCAUGUGGUUAACAAAGGCUUUUGGUUUGUUGUGAGGCAGCUGUCCUCAGCAACACUUCUGAAGGUGUAAGAACUCCUGGCCACUCAGCGGACCUUUCUGCGGACCCUUUAGAAAAUGAAGGGCUCCGCAGGAAGAAAUCCCAUCUGAAGUCUCAAAUUGUUGAAUAAUAUGCUUAUUUUUAGGUCUGUUGAUGCAUGUUAUGAUUAUUCUUCGUUCGUGCUUUUCUUAAGAAUGUGUAUAUAGAGAUAAAAUGAAAAUAAAAAUCAGUAAAAAUAUAAAAUGAAAACAAAUGGUGGAUUCAUAUACCAUGUGUGAAUGUCCUCUUGUGUGUGUCAGAGCCACCAAAAUAAUGGAGGUUACUCGACUGAUACAUACACGAGGGGAUAUUGAAAGCAUACCACAUAAAAAACUAAGAUAAUUAGAAAAUGGUUCAUUAUAAUUAACUUUCAAUAACUUUGCUUUAUCCAAUAACUUCUGAAUUUUUCUUUUAGGUUCAGUUUUUGUUUUGUUUAUAGAAUAUCACCAUAUAUUUAAUACCCAGAUGUGCAUAAUUGUUGUAGGUUUGGAUGACUCUUUGUUCUGCCUAGUUUAGACGGUUUUGAUUGACCUAGCUCAAGAUUCACCGGGUGUCAGACGUAGGAUUGUGGCACUUCCUGGGAGCCUCCGAGCCACACGUUAAUCGACUAAUCGUUCCUGCAGUGUUCUGAGGUGGUAACGAUGGGGCUCAUGGGGAGGCCCCGGGAGAGUUGUCUCCCGGGCUCACACGGGGAGAAAUCGGGUAGGUCGGUAAGUCAGAAGGUUGAAUUAAUGUAUCGAUUUGAUGUUGACCAACAAAAAACUAGAUAAUUAUAAUAAUAAAUACUGUUCAUGAAAUGGUAUAGUUAGGUCUGGGACCUGCGUAGCUAAAAAAACUGUUUUUGAAAUAGUAAUGAACGUGUCCGGGACAUGUGUAGCUAUAAAAUAAGUAAAGAUAAAACUGGGUUUUACUUUACUUCACUUUGCUAAGACAUAUUCACGUUUGAUGUGGUAUGCAGAAAGUGGCGCAAUAGGAUGUUGUGCAGAAAAUAAGGCGUAUUCACGUUUGAUGUGGUAUGCGAUGUACAUAGGAGUGAAUCAAAGUGUGGACAACAUCAAAUGCGAGCAAUAGGUAGAAUAAAUGAAGAUUAGGUCAUCCAAUAUACAUAGUUAGUGUAGGACAAUCGGGUAGUAUGAUGAAGGUAACUGUUAUUAUGAGAUACGGUUAACACAGAAGUGAUAUUGAACAUGCAAAUUUUAACAUUGUUAUUUCCCUUUUACAUCUUUUUGGUUAUAGCAACUUGGUUGCACUACGGUGUUGUUAGCUUUGGUUGUCAUUCAAUGCGCAUGGCUGAAGCGAUGCGCAAGGAGGGAUGUAGUGUGAAAUUAAAUCAAAGUAGAUACUGUAAAACAAUUAAAAUUAGAAUUCAUGGAAAUAUGUUUUUGAACAACUAACUGUUGUACAUGAGUUUGUAUUUCUGCAAUAGAAACAAAAGUUGUAUUCCCAGAUCACAGACCAGAAGCCGUCCGAUCCAGAGGAUCCUUCACCAACGUCAGUGACACCUGGCGAGUGGAUCUGGGUGAAAAAACAC